rnacentral:lncRNA from 1 species
ACCUGUGCUACUUACGUAUCACAUCCAACGAAAUUGAGAAGCUCUCUAAAUCAAUAUGCCUCCUUUAUCACCUACAGAUAUUGGUACUUGAUUGCGAGAAUCUUGCAGAGUUACCAAAUGGCCUAGGCAACCUUACCAACCUACGAAACUUACAUAUCACAUCCAAGAAAAUUGACAAGUUGCCUAAAUCAAUAUACCUCCUUUAUCACCUACAGACAUUGGUACUUGAUGGUUGGAAUCUUGCAGAGUUACCAGAUAGCCUAGGCAACCUUACCAACCUACGAUACUUACGUAUCACAUCCGACAAUAUUAGGAAGGUCCCUGAAUCAGUAUGCCUCCUUUAUCAUCUACAGACAUUGGUACUUGAUGGUUGGAAUCUUGCAGAGUUACCAGAUAGCCUAGGCAACCUUACCAACCUAUGAUACUUUGAACUACACACAUAUUGUAUUAAAAGGCUGCCUGGAACAGUUUGUCAGCUCC